UGCAGCAACGCCGCGUGCGGGAUGACGGCCUAUCGGGUUGUAAACCGCUUUUAGUAGGGAAGAAGGGCUAUCGGCUUGACGGUACCUGCAGAAAAAGGACCGGCUAACUACGUGCCAGCAGCCGCGGUAAUACGUAGGGUCCGAGCGUUGUCCGGAAUUAUUGGGCGUAAAGAGCUCGUAGGCGGUUUGUCGCGUCUGCUGUGAAAUCUGGAGGCUCAACCUCCAGCCUGCAGUGGGUACGGGCAGACUAGAGUGCGGUAGGGGAGAAUGGAAUUCCUGGUGUAGCGGUGGAAUGCGCAGAUAUCAGGAGGAACACCGAUGGCGAAGGCAGUUCUCUGGGCCGUAACUGACGCUGAGGAGCGAAAGCGUGGGGAGCGAACAGGAUUAGAUACCCUGGUAGUCCACGCCGUAAACGUUGGGCGCUAGAUGUGGGGACCUUUCCACGGUUUCCGUGUCGUAGCUAACGCAUUAAGCGCCCCGCCUGGGGAGUACGGCCGCAAGGCUAAAACUCAAAGGAAUUGACGGGGGCCCGCACAAGCGGCGGAGCAUGCGGAUUAAUUCGAUGCAACGCGAAGAACCUUACCAAGGCUUGACAUAACCGAGAACGCCCUAGAAAUAGGGAACUC
rnacentral:rRNA from 1 species